rnacentral:rRNA from 1 species
GACGAACGCUGGCGGCGUGCUUAACACAUGCAAGUCGAACGGAAAGGCCCUGCUUUUGUGGGGUGCUCGAGUGGCGAACGGGUGAGUAACACGUGAGUAACCUGCCCUUGACUUUGGGAUAACUUCAGGAAACUGGGGCUAAUACCGGAUAGGAGCUCCUGCUGCAUGGUGGGGGUUGGAAAGUUUCGGCGGUUGGGGAUGGACUCGCGGCUUAUCAGCUUGCUGGUGGGGUAGUGGCUUACCAAGGCUUUGACGGGUAGCCGGCCUGAGAGGGUGGCCGGCCACAUUGGGGCUGAGAGACGGCCCAGACUACUACGGGAGGCAGCAGUGGGGAAUAUAGCACAAUGGGCGGAAGCCUGAUGCAGCAACGCCGCGUGCGGGAUGACGGCCGUCGGGUUGUAACCCGCUUUCGCCUGUGACGAAGCGUGAGUGACGGUAAUGGGUAAAGAAGCACCGGCUAACUACGU